rnacentral:lncRNA from 1 species
AAAAAUAAGAUGCAAAAAGAAUGUAAUCAAUAGUAAAAUUCCAGAAAGCCCUAACAACAAGAAGCUAGAUCAAUUAGAACAAGGGAAGGGAUACCUCUCGCGGCGCUGUUCGGGGGUCAUGCCGUCGUCUUUUUGCUUCCCCUGAGCUUUUCGAGCUUGUGCCCUCUGCCUAUCAACUUCCCUCUGGUUUCCCCGUGAAUUAGAAUUAAGAGAAACAUCAUCACAUCCGUGCAUAAUCAAGAGACGGAAACUAGGAUUCCAUCGAAUCAGCCAUUUACAACGAAACCAACGACAAGUAAUCAGAUCGAAUCAUCGACAAGAAAGGUUAACGAGACCAACACGAAUCGGAAAUCGCAGAUCUCGCUCUCUCAUCAAACGAUCUGGAAAAGAUGAUAAGAACGAAAUCCAAGUACGGAAUCGAAAUAUAUCAUCGAAUAAGGAUAUGAGUCAUCCUCUCCGCUUCUGUGCAGGAAGAACCACCCGACGAGAGGGCACGAAGAAUCCGUACCACACGACAGAAAGAAAAGGGGUGAGAUGGAGGCAGGAAAGGGAAUAUAUUGAAGAAGGGGAAUCGGAGAGGUGUUCGGGUAUUGUUCAUCUUUUCCUACCCGUUCAAUGCUCG